UUCAAUAAUGUUUUCUUGAAGAGGUCUC
rnacentral:sRNA from 1 species